GGAUGUGUAGCUCAGUGGUAGAGCAACGGCCUUUUAAGCCGAUGGCCUUGGGUUCAAUCCCCAACACAUCUA
rnacentral:tRNA from 1 species